UACGGAGGGUGCAAGCGUUAUCCGGAUUCACUGGGUUUAAAGGGUGCGUAGGUGGGUUGGUAAGUCAGGUGUGAAAUCUCCGCGCUCAACGCGGAGCGGCCACCUGAUACUGCUGUGACUCGAGUCCGGUAGGGGAGUGUGGAAUUCCCGGUGUAGCGGUGAAAUGCGCAGAUAUCGGGAGGAACACCAGUGGCGAAGGCGGCACUCUGGGCCGUGACUGACGCUGAGGAGCGAAAGCGUGGGUAGCAAACAGG
rnacentral:rRNA from 1 species